UGAACGCUAGCUACAGGCUUAACACAUGCAAGUCGAGGGGAAACGACAUCGAAAGCUUGCUUUUGAUGGGCGUCGACCGGCGCACGGGUGAGUAACGCGUAUCCAACCUGCCCACCACUUGGGGAUAACCUUGCGAAAGUAAGACUAAUACCCAAUGACGUCUCUAGAAGACAUCUGAAAGAGAUUAAAGAUUUAUCGGUGAUGGAUGGGGAUGCGUCUGAUUAGCUUGUUGGCGGGGUAACGGCCCACCAAGGCGACGAUCAGUAGGGGUUCUGAGAGGAAGGUCCCCCACAUUGGAACUGAGACACGGUCCAAACUCCUACGGGAGGCAGCAGUGAGGAAUAUUGGUCAAUGGACGAGAGUCUGAACCAGCCAAGUAGCGUGCAGGAUGACGGCCCUAUGGGUUGUAAACUGCUUUUAUAAGGGAAUAAAGUGAGUCUCGUGAGACUUUUUGCAUGUACCUUAUGAAUAAGGACCGGCUAAUUCCGUGCCAGCAGCCGCGGUAAUACGGAAGGUCCGGGCGUUAUCCGGAUUUAUUGGGUUUAAAGGGAGCGUAGGCCGGAGAUUAAGCGUGUUGUGAAAUGUAGACGCUCAACGUCUGCACUGCAGCGCGAACUGGUUUCCUUGAGUACGCACAAAGUGGGCGGAAUUCGUGGUGUAGCGGUGAAAUGCUUAGAUAUCACGAAGAACUCCGAUUGCGAAGGCAGCUCACUGGAGCGCAACUGACGCUGAAGCUCGAAAGUGCGGGUAUCGAACAGGAUUAGAUACCCUGGUAGUCCGCACGGUAAACGAUGGAUGCCCGCUGUUGGUCUGAAUAGGUCAGCGGCCAAGCGAAAGCAUUAAGCAUCCCACCUGGGGAGUACGCCGGCAACGGUGAA
rnacentral:rRNA from 1 species